CAGAUUCUGUGUCUUCCUCUCUCUGCCCAUUCCCCGUUUGCACGCUCUCUCUCUCUCUCUCUCUCUCUCUCUCUCAAAAAUAAAUAAACAUUAAAAAAAAUUUUUAAAAAAGAACAGUAGGUAAGCCCAUCGCUAGCCCAGCCCCACAAUCUCUGCAGCUCUAUCUGCCCCAAUAUUGGACAAUGUCCAUCAGGAAAAAUAUAUAUUAUCUAUGUAUGUGUAUAUGUAUAUAUGUGUACAUAUAUUUCAUAUAUAUGUGUGUAUAUGUGUAAACAUAUAUAUACAUAUAUUCAUAGUUCUCAGCCUAGAUCUUAUAGUCAGUUACAAUCUUUGUAAUUGCAUUUUAGCUAAAGGCAUGGUGAAAAUUGCUUGCAGAUCUUAGCUCAUUUGAAAUGAACCCCGGUGUGGUAUGGAGGCUUUCUAACACAUCGACACUUUUCCAUAUAUUUCAGAAAACCUUUUUAGAUACAGUACAGGGGAAUAUCUUUUAAACAAGCUCCCUUCAUGCAGUUCCUAAACAGAUGAUGGCAUUUGACUCACUAUGUCCCACUCACUCGUCAUCAGCUACUGGGGGAGAAGUAGAUGGGCCAGAGUCAGAGGAAACCUGAGAAAUGAUAAUGAAACGCCUGUAAAAAAAAAAAAAUCAAUGACACUUAUGGAAAUGAGCUCUUUACCACCCUUUCUAUGACCUUUCCUUCCUUCUUUUUUUUUUUUUUUUUUUUUGACCCUUCUCAUAGGCAGCCUUAGUUUACAGCAGGAGCAUCAUCCAAUGAGGUUCCAGAGAAAAAAAAUGAUUACAGAGAUAGCCACUAUUUGCAAGAGCAUAUCAGAUCAUGGCAAAGCACAUCAUGUCAACACUCCCCCUGCGACAAUCUAGUUUUUACCGGAGUUAAUUAAAGCAAUUAAUUCCCUUCCCUUGCAAAGCAGGGUGAUUACACAAAUAGAUAAUUUCCCAAUCCAUACCCAUAAGGCAAGUGAUUUCUCUGCCCUUCCCUCAGUAUAGCAAAGAACGUAACUGAAGCAAAUUAUCCUUUUUAAAAAAAAUAUGACCUUUCAGAAAUUCUCCAUCAACUUUCUCCGCUGUGUUUUCCUAUCUGGUUGGAUGGUGGAACCACAUCUCCACACAGACACAGGACUCCAAGGUUAAUUAAGCCUUUCACAUAGCAAAGAUCGGUGGCGUCCAAACUGUAACCCCAGUGACAGGAGCAGAAUGACAGAUGAACACUCCGACAGUCACCACUGAGUCCUCUUCAACAACAAUUUACCAGUGUGGGUGAUGCUGACAAUAAUUAGGCAAACAAAAUGCCAAACAAUUGUAAGAAAAGCUGUCAAACAUUUUGUGUUAUUAUCCCCUGCACAGGCCUGUGAUUUAUCAUCACAGAAAAAGUACGUUAAAAAAAAAAAAUCUCUAAACAGUGACAUUUUGUUCAAAUUACAACCCCCGGCUUUCCGGACUGCCUGCAGACUGACAUCUCCAAUGUCAGAUGUGACGCUCAGCAAUUUGUUCCCUCAUUCGUUGAGCGGGUCGCUGGGGUGGGUUCCUGCCACUGUCGGGGAGAGCUGGUGUGCCAAGAGCAGGAGCAAAGCACCUCUCAAUGCACGGGAAGCCACUCGCCUUUCAGAUGUCAAAAUGAAAUACAACAACUGCCAUCUACAUUUCGUUCUUCAAUUCUUUGGGUCAUGCUGGUCCCAAAAUUUGAAAUACGGUCUUUUGCACCAAAUCUCCUACCAUCACCUCUUCCUCCCUUUCUACCCAAGACCCCAUUUGGGAUUCUGGACUUGGAUGAAGUAUACUUUAAGGGCUUUGAUUUUUCAAUAUAAAAAUCGAAUUUCCAGGUAAUGUCCCCGAUGGCUGUAACUGGACCAGAAAGAAAAAAAAAUGGAAACAAUACUUUUCUAAUUCAAUUUCUUUACAGGUUGGCACAGUUCUACAGAUAAAUUCGGAUACACUGAGAAGUACUGCAGGGAGACCUCCUUCCAGGGAUGCCAGGCCAAUGAGACAGACGUAAGGUGCUAAUAUUACGAUUUUGUAGAGAGUCCACCGGCAGUCUCUAACUUAGAUGUCUGGGUUGCUAAGUGUUGAAGUGGACCCUGGAGGUCACGUAAAAUACCUUUUCAACUAAUGAGAGAAUUCCUGUCUAUGAUACUUCUGGCUGAGGUUCUGAACUGGAACGCUUCCAAGGAUGGGGGUGAGGCAGCCUUCUGCAUUACAAACACCUGAAAAGCCUAAAGUUUGGGUCUUUGCUGUCUGCAACAGCCCCUCCUACCCUGUCCCGACAUCAAGAUCCACUCAAGGGUAAGAACCCCUACUCCCUAUAUAUCGCCUCGUUUGAAUAGCCAUUUCUUUCUAUCCUGGUGAAAGGGCUCCUUCUCACUCCUUCCUUCAUCUUUUUCUCAAUCUUUACACACACAAGAGAACUUUAUCUUCUGAUGACGCUCUUUUGUGACAGUUUGGUUAGUCAUUAAGUCUCAUCAGUAGAGUAAUUCUUCAUUUUAUUUGGGUUUUGAUUUUUAGAAAGAGCCAAGAGUCAUUUUACUUGAAAUAUGGCAAAUCAUGCAGGUUAGCACACAGACUCAAUGAGCUCUAAUUUCCCCCCCGACCAUGUAUCUUCUUCUCUUAAUCUUUUCACAAGGCGUUCAAUAACUCCAUGCUGACUGCUGGCUACCCAGGGACCCUCUCUCUAGAGUAAGCCCUGGUGGAUGGCACUUAGGACCUUUUCCAACCAUCUUUCCUACCAAAAUCCACAUGCCCUAUGUCUCAUAUCCGAGAAAGGUGAUAGUGAAUUCCGUGGAAAAAUGUAAACUAGGGUGUUGACAGCUUCUAUCAGAACACUUUGAUGUGUUGCAACCUAACGUUUACACAUCAAUGGUGACUCACUUCCUUAGCCCAGCAAAGUAAAACUAAGGUUUUAUUCUCUCUUUUUUUUCUUCCUCUCUCUCCUUUUUCUCUUUCCUCUUUCCCAUUCCUCUUCAUAGACAAAUGUAAGUUAUCCCCCACAACCUGUUCAUCUAAUUCUGGAAGCUGUUUCUCAAGGGAAAACCCAUAAGGAAGGGCUAGGUAAGGGAUGUGCAGAACUCACUGAAAAGUCACUUCAGCUACAGAAGGAAAACUCAGAGGUCUACAGUCUGUGGAAGGCAAGUCUGUGGUAUCCACUUUGAAGAUAAAGAACAGUUUUGACCAACUUUACCAAAUUGAUUUUAACACCCUUUGGUCCUGUGGACUUCCAACCUACCCUGAUUGAUCUAGGCUGAUGAGACACAAAAGCAUUAGCAGUAAAGACCAAAAUAAACGAGCUUUUAGAAGUCUUCCCUCUCGUUCAAGAACAUUGAAAUUUAUAUGAGUUAUACCCACAGUCACUGGAGGAAAGGUAAUAUGAAUUCACCCUUCCAGUAAAGAAGAGGCUGAAAUAAUAACUUUGAGUUCCUUUAAACCCAAUUGUGACGUAGUCUAACAUGUGACAUGGCUGAAAUAUAUUAUCUUUCCUUUCUGACACGAGAAGUUGAAUGUGUGUAUGAAGUUUUAUUUCUUUGUUUGUUUUAGAUCUUCUACAGGUAACCACAGUCUUUGAAACAAAGUGGCUCAUUUUAUAUAUCUGGACCCUUUCAGGCAACAAAGCGAGAAACUGAAAGGGGUGGAAUUACCCAACGGAGUCACAGAUGGAAAUAUAGUUUGGUGAAGAAACAGGAAGCAAUAGAAAUGGAAGGACUCCCAUAUAUUUUUCUUUACAGUCUAAAUAUGCUGCACACAUGAAGACUGCAACAGAUCCAGAUCAAAAUGGCCCUUGCUGUGCUUUGGGAAAUCUGGGCUGUGAAGAUCUUCUGCAGUAGAAAGGGUGGUUCUAUCACGCUACCUGGAAGGCCAGUCUGGGGUGUGCUCACUGGAUGUGUUGAGAUCAAUUACCCACAAGUCCCCGCGGAGCCUCUCUUCGGUAAGAACAGGGGAAGCCCGAGCCAUUGGUAUUCUGUGCACACAUACUAACAGCUUGUGUGCAAUCAUUUCUUGCAGAGGCAAUCAUUUCUCAGCUGCUUUCAGAUUCUAUUUAUUGUUUAUUUUCCCCUUGGCUGAAAAGGUUUCUCCUUCAUACUAAGCAGAGGCACCAAUCUAGGAGAAUGCAUUAGAAACUGCUCUAUUGGUAUCCUGCUGGAUUUCCCAUGGGGUUGAAAUGCUCAAACAAAACGUGAUGAAAAUUUUAGGGUGUUUUGGGUGACUUUAGUCCCAAGGUGUCACCAGGGUGACUUGGUUUCCUGCUCUUCGAGAUUUAGGCAAUGCUUGUUUCAGAAGGGAGAUCUGGCAGACCUUGAAAAUGAGGCGGCUUUUACAUCAGCCUUUCAGUGGUGGAAAAAUCCAUGUACUCGCGAUGUCAAGAUACUAUGCCCUCGUUUGGGUGCAGGUGUGAAGGGUGAAUGAAUUCCUUGAAGAGGAAAAUGUGGCCGUGGGCACUGUGUAGUGGUGCAAUUCAGUCUUUGCACUGGGUCUUUCAAGAAGUCCAAAAGGAAGUACAAAGAUUUUCUUCUCACGUCUUCCUAAGACAAACAGAUGAUGACGAGGCAGAUAUAAGGGAAGCUUUGGGGGUAGAGAAGAGAAGGUCAUUCCUUUCCUAAUCUUACCAAAGUUUACAAUUUGUCUUCCUUUGGGUAGUGUCUAUUUGGUGCUUGCCCCACAAUUGAGUUGUAAGCUCCAUGGAGACAGGGAACGUGUUCCUGCUCUGUUCAUUACUACAUUGCCAAUGCCGAUCACAGUUCUUGGCACAGUGCAACAAAGGAUAAAUAAACACUUAGUCUCUUUUAAACCAUUGGUUCUUCUUCUCCAAGUGUGACGUUGGUAUGGAUUUUCUUGAAGUUUGAUGAUGACCAAAGCCAGUAGUGGAAUGAAAAUCAGCUGGAAAGCGUGGUCUCUGAUUCACAGGGAAUUCUAAUAUUUCCUGGUACAUUUUGGUGUACUGGUCUGUAACCCAUUUUUAAGCCAUAAAACAGAAACACCAAUGCUGUCUUUUUUAAUGAUAAGAUAUAAUAGCGGUCAUUUAUACAAGUCAAGAAAUAUUUUCUGAGCCCCUAUAUUGUGCCAGGAACUGUUCUUGAUUCCUGAUGAACAUGGCACAUGGUUGUUCAUGGAGCUUUCAGUCAAAUAAUGCCUAUAUGAUUGGAACUGGUGGGCAUGGAGUUCAAAACAGCUGUUCUAAGCCAAACUGCUCUAAACAAGUGAUGUGGAUAUCAUCAGGGACUUGCUACAAUUUUGAUUAUAUUUAGCUCUCCUGACACCUCUCUCACCAGCUAAGUUGGGUAGGAAGAGGUCUACCUGGGAAGCACAGAAUGAAGUGGGAAGAGAGGUACCCAGGGGUCAGUGCGGUAACACUGUUCUUAGCAAAUGGUCCCCUGGUAAUUUUCAAAAAGGUAAGAUAUUGAAAUAUUGAAUUGAUCUCAUGAUUGAUCUCAUGAUAUGGCCACGACAGCUCUAAAAUGGUUCUAUAAUGUAAACCUGCCUUCAGUGAGUGAUCUAAAGUUUGAACAACUUAUGGAACAGGGUGGGGAGUCAGUUGGCACAGAUAAUUGAAGUCGUGGCUCCAGACCACUUGCCGAUUGAUUCAUGAGAAAUUUAUUUUACAUUUCUAAGCAUCAGUUUCAUAUGUAGAGAGGAGAUAGCAUUAUAUACAAGGUUGUCGUGAAUACAAUAUAAAAUGAUAUAGUGCAUUGUUAGCAUGGUAAGUGACACAUAAGAGCAGCUGAAUACGUUAUUAUUCAACAGAGACUGAAUAUUUCAACGAAUCACAAUAUUCAUUAAUCACUACAUUUCAUUAACUGCAACACUCAGAGGAGAGGAGCGCAGGAUAUAUGACUGGCAGAUAAGACAACUGAUGCUUAAAGGGAUAGAACAUCAAUACUUUCACUGCUCUGGGCACAGGGGAGGCUUGCACUUCACUUUCCCAUUGAAAUUAGAUAUGGCCAUGUGACUUGCUUAGGCUAAUGAAACAUGAAGAGAGAAGCAGGUGUUGGUUUUGGGUGGAAGCCCCUAAAAGCCAUCUUCCCUUCCCUGCACCACCAUGUAGAGUGAUGUUUCAGGAGGUGGACCGUCCAGCGUCUUGUGUCCUGAAGUGAUGACAGUGCAGAGCAGAGCCCCCAGCUAAUACUGAUGGAAUGCAGCGUGAGCAAGAAAUAAAUGCCCGUUGUUUUUGCCACUGAGA